CUAACUAAUCCCCAUUAUUGAUUGGGUUGUCUUCUCUUCUUGUAUUUCACCCACUUCUUUUAGCUCAUCCUCUUUGGAGAGAGAAAAAAUGGAGAAAUACAAGGGUGCCCUAGUCCUUUUUAUGGUCGUAAUCUGGGUUUCUUCAUCCCAGAAUCCCCUGGUUUCAGCAGCUAGGCCGCUUUCAAUCUUGCCUCAUCAACAAAGAUACUCCAAGAUUUUAGCCACUCUUGGAGUCGUCUGCGAGUGUUGCGAUGGAAGUGGAGGUGAAUGCUCGUCUACAUGGACCGGAGCUUGCUCUAAGCUCAAGUGCCUGCCCUGGAAAUUACUUUAGGAUUUUUACUUUUCAUUUGCCUCUAUUCUGUGUGUAAUAUCAUAAGUAACUGAAACCAUGGUAUGGGGUCAUAUUUGCUUACUUGA